rnacentral:rRNA from 1 species
AUUGAACGCUGGCGGCAUGCCUUACACAUGCAAGUCGAACGGUAACAGGUCUUCGGAUGCUGACGAGUGGCGAACGGGUGAGUAAUGCAUCGGAACGUGCCCAGUAGUGGGGGAUAGCCCGGCGAAAGCCGGAUUAAUACCGCAUACGACCUGAGGGUGAAAGGGGGGGAUCGCAAGACCUCUCGCUAUUGGAGCGGCCGAUGUCAGAUUAGCUAGUUGGUGGGGUAAAGGCCUACCAAGGCAACGAUCUGUAGUUGGUCUGAGAGGACGACCAGCCACACUGGGACUGAGACACGGACCAGACUCCUACGGGAGGCAGCAGUGGGGAAUUUUGGACAAUGGGCGCAAGCCUGAUCCAGCAAUGCCGCGUGCAGGAAGAAGGCCUUCGGGUUGUAAACUGCUUUUGUCAGGGAAGAAAUCUUCUGGGUUAAUACCUCGGGAGGGUGACGGUACCUGAAGAAUAAGCACCGGCUAACUACGUGCCAGCCGCCGCGGUAACAC